rnacentral:rRNA from 1 species
AAAUUACCCACUCCCAGCACGGGGAGGUAGUGACGAAAAAUAACGAUACGGGACUCAUCCGAGGCCCCGUAAUCGGAAUGAGCACACUCUAAACCUUUUAGCAAGGAUCAAUUGGAGGGUAAGUCUGGUGCCAGCAGCCGCGGUAAAACCAGCUCCAAAAGCGUAUAUUAAAGUUGUUGCGGUUAAAAAGCUCGUAGUCGAAUUUGUGUCUCGAGCCGCCGGUUCAUCGCUCGCGGUGUUUAACUGGUGUGUCCUGGGAUGUCCUGUCGGUGGGCUUUCGUAUCGUUCCGGCGAUGCGGGGUCCAACUCACCUCCGUCUUGCACGGUUGUGAAUCUCAUCGCGUUGCUCUUUAUUGAGUGACGAGGUGGGUCGGCACUUUUACUUUGAACAAAUUAAAGUGCUUAAAGCAGGCUAAUGUUGCCUGAAUAUUCGUGCAUGGAAUAAUGGAAAAGGACCUCGGUUCUAUUUGGUUGGUUUUAGGAACCCCGAGGUAAUGAUUAAUAGGAACGGAUGGGGGCAUUCGUAUUGCGACGUUAGAGGUGAAAUUCUUGGAUCGUCGCAAGACGGACAGAAGCGAAAGCAUUUGCCAAAAACGUUUUCAUUGAUCAAGAACGAAAGUUAGAGGUUCGAAGGCGAUCAGAUACCGCCCUAGUUCUAACCAUAAACAAUGCCAGCUAGCGAUCCGCCGACGUUCCUCCGAUGACUCGGCGGGCAGCUUCCGGGAAACCAAAGCGAUUGGGUUCCGGGGGAAGUAUGGUUGCAAAGCUGAAACUUAAAGGAAUUGACGGAAGGGCACCACCAGGAGUGGAGCCUGCGGCUUAAUUUGACUCAACACGGGAAACCUCACCAGGCCCGGACACCGGAAGGAUUGACAGAUUGAGAGCUCUUUCUUGAUUCGGUGGGUGGUGGUGCAUGGCCGUCUUAGU